ensembl:lncRNA
UUAUCAGGACGGACACGUUAUCGCUGCUCAGCACCCCAGCUCCCUCUCCCUGAGCAAACAGUGGGGGUGGCAGGGGAAUGUCACAACCCUACUGGCUGAGCGCUCAUUCCUGCUGGGACUCAACGGGUCCACAAGCUCCGUGGAGGGGGUAGCCAUGCUGCAAGACUUGCCAAGACUCUUCUGUUGGCACCUUGAUGUCCCAGCAAGGCCCCACAGGAGCCACGGCUUGUUCACUGCAGGAAGGCGCCUGAACAAGCUACUGCGUACUGAUUCACAGCAGUGCUUUGGUGAACUUCAAAUUAAGUAGAGAAAGAUAACUGUGAAGAAACACGUGUGGGAUUUUAAUUCCUUAGACUUGCACGGUAGCCGUGGAAACAACAGGACUUCAACAAGUUCACAAAUGAGUGCUGCUCCCCCUGAGCAAAGAGGUCCACAACUGCUCACCAGCCUGUCUUCUUCAAGUAACAGCCCAGAUGAGUCAUAGCAAAGAUUGCAG